UACGGAGGAUGCAAGCGUUAUCCGGAAUGAUUGGGCGUAAAGCGUCCGCAGGUGGCUAUGUAAGUCUGCUGUUAAAGAGUGAGGCUCAACCUCAUAAAAGCAGUGGAAACUACAUGGCUAGAGUGCGUUCGGGGCAGAGGGAAUUCCUGGUGUAGCGGUGAAAUGCGUAGAGAUCAGGAAGAACAUCGGUGGCGAAGGCGCUCUGCUGGACCAUAACUGACACUCAGGGACGAAAGCUAGGGGAGCGAAUGGG
rnacentral:rRNA from 1 species